GACGUAGGAUGCAAGCGUUGUCCGGAAUUAUUGGGCGUAAAGCGAACGUAGGCGGUUCCUUAAGUUUGGAGUUAAAGACCGGGGCUCAACCCCGGGAGUGCUCUGAAUACUGGGGGACUGGAGGACGGCAGAGGAAAGUGGAAUUCCCAGUGUAGCGGUGAAAUGCGUAGAUAUUGGGAGGAACACCAGUGGCGAAAGCGACUUUCUGGGCCGUUCCUGACGCUGAGGUUCGAAAGCGUGGGGAGCAAACAGG
rnacentral:rRNA from 1 species